AGUGAACGCUGGCGGUAGGCCUAACACAUGCCAGUCGAACGGCAGCACAGUAAGAGCUUGCUCUUACGGGUGGCGAGUGGCGGACGGGUGAGGAAUACAUCGGAAUCUACUUUUUCGUGGGGGAUAACGUAGGGAAACUUACGCUAAUACCGCAUACGACCUACGGGUGAAAGCAGGGGAUCUUCGGACCUUGCGCGAAUGAAUGAGCCGAUGUCGGAUUAGCUAGUUGGCGGGGUAAAGGCCCACCAAGGCGACGAUCCGUAGCUGGUCUGAGAGGAUGAUCAGCCACACUGGAACUGAGACACGGUCCAGACUCCUACGGGAGGCAGCAGUGGGGAAUAUUGGACAAUGGGCGCAAGCCUGAUCCAGCCAUACCGCGUGGGUGAAGAAGGCCUUCGGGUUGUAAAGCCCUUUUGUUGGGAAAGAAAAGCAGCAGGUUAAUACCCCGCUGUUCUGACGGUACCCAAAGAAUAAGCACCGGCUAACUUCGUG
rnacentral:rRNA from 1 species